rnacentral:rRNA from 1 species
GACAGAGGGUGCAAACGUUGUUCGGAAUUACUGGGCGUAAAGCGCGUGUAGGCUGCUUCGCAAGUCGGAUGUGAAAGCCCUGGGGCUCAACCCAGGAAGUGCAUUCGAAACUGCAGAGCUGGAGUCCUGGAGAGGAAGGCGGAAUUCUCGGUGUAGAGGUGAAAUUCGUAGAUAUCGAGAGGAACACCAGUGGCGAAGGCGGCGAUCUGGGGUGGUUACUGACGCUGAGGUGCGAAAGCGUGGGGGAGCAAACAGG